GACAGGGGGUGCAAACGUUGUUCGGAAUUACUGGGCGUAAAGCGCGUGUAGGCUGCCUCGAAAGUCAGGUGUGAAAGCCCUGGGCUCAACCCAGGAAGUGCACUUGAAACUUCGAGGCUUGAGUUCUGGAGAGGAUGGCGGAAUUCUCGGUGUAGAGGUGAAAUUCGUAGAUAUCGAGAGGAACACCGGUGGCGGAAAGGCGGGUCUCUGGGGCCGAUAUUGACGCUGAGGAGCGAAAGCGUGGGGAGCGAACAGG
rnacentral:rRNA from 1 species